ensembl:lncRNA
UUUGGGUUGUGAGCAGAGCAGGGGGCGUGUCAGGAGCAAGGGGCGUGUCUGGUCCGGCUUCGGCUCGCUAUUGGCAGAUGGCUUGCCUGGUAACCAACCAACGCUAACAACAACACGGUGCAAAUUAAAUUACAUUCUCCAGAACGACACGAAAAUAACGAAUAAUAAUUAAAAAAAAUACUUCGCAUAAUGGGGAAAUGGUCAGGAAUAAUGACCGAAACUGAAGAACGGUAAGCAUCAUCCAUCCAUAACACAACCCUGAAGAACGGUGGCUCACUCUGGAUGAUGGGUCCCUGAACAUCAUCUAACCCCAACCCUACUAUGGAUAGCGAGGAACACCAGAGGUGUCCGGGAGUGAAGCUCGGCUUUGCUGUGGAAGAGACUCUGGAUGAAUAUUUAAUUGGCCUUCAGCACAAAAACAG